ensembl:snoRNA
GUCCCUUUGUGGCUCCUAAGUGUGAUGAUUGGAUUUUCACACCAUUGUGUUAGAUGUACCUCCUUCAAACUCUGCUACAUCAUUGACACAUUAUCUGUUUGCCU